GGGGAUGUAGCUCAGUGACAGAGCAUGUGCCUAGUAUGCACAAGGCCCUGGGUUUGAUCCCCAGCACCACCA